rnacentral:rRNA from 1 species
UACAGAGGUCCCAAGCGUUGUUCGGAUUCAUUGGGCGUAAAGGGUGCGUAGGCGGCGCGGUAAGUCGGGUGUGAAAUCUCGGAGCUUAACUCCGAAACUGCAUUCGAUACUGGCGUGCUUGAGGACUGGAGAGGAGACUGGAAUUUACGGUGUAGCGGUGAAAUGCGUAGAUAUCGUAAGGAAGACCAGUGGCGAAGGCGGGGUCUCUGGACAGUUCCUGACGCUGAGGCACGAAGGUCAGGGGGAGCAAACGGGG